AAACCUUUCCUCUAUGUUGCUCUCUCACACUAUAUUCUUUUUGGUUUAGUAAUUCACCCCUAAAUCCUACAAAGCCCUGCCCUAUUUUAAGUAUUGUAACCCCCGAUCACCGAUACCCUAUCCGACUGACGUAGGGCCCCGUAACGUAUGUCAAGGCUCUGCCUAAAUUCGUUGGGGUUCUGUCUCGUGAUGUAGGGAUAACAUGAAAUUGGGUUACCAUACUUAAUGUGAGUGCACUAUAUAUUUUAUUAAAUAACCCAGGAGUGAAACUCGAAAUAUAACAACUCUCCAAAAACACCUCUGAUACCCUACACUUCCUAAAAUACACCCCGUAUGUGAAAACCGAGCCCGGAAUACAAUAUAGCAUUUAAAAUAAAUUAAAAACAAGAAAAUAUAAGUUUACGCGGGCCGCGUAAAGAUCCUCGCUUAGUUAACGCGGGCCGCGAGAGGUUAGAAAGGUGGCGCAGCCCUGGGCCGCCACGUGGCACAACACCCGUCAAGCCUAUACCUCAACUCAGCAUAGCUAUACGUUGACUUUGGGUCAACGCGGGCCGCGUAAGACCUGUUCUUAUUUGACGCGGGCCGCGAGAGAGUUCAGUAUCAGCCCUAUAAAUUGGAUCGUCGAGCCUUCAGUCCGAUCGUUCAUUUCUUUCUUUCUCUCUCUUAAUUUCUGAGUAGUAGAAGUAAUACCCGGGUAUAAUGCCCCCCUAAUUAGCGAAGCUCUGCCUCGUUGUAAGUAUCAUAACCCCUGGAUACGUAUUAGAUACUCUGCCCGAUUGAUCUAGGGUUCCGUAACGGCUGUCGUGGUUCUGCCCGACGUAGUCGUUGGAAUACCGUCUCGGGUAGGGUAUUACUAAUGUUAAAAUGGGUUAUUAUACUAACGCGUGUGCAUUGUUUAUUUAAUUAGACUAUAACCAGGGAAUCACAAAGGAAAGCCCUAUAAUAGCAAUGUGAGUUGAUCCUUCUUUUUAUGUACUCAUUUUUGUAACUUAGUGUGAAGCCAAUAAAAGCCAGCUGGAGAGCACUGAAGGCUUGGGAAAGUGGCAAUAAAGUUACCUAAAAUAAAAUAGAUGUUUUUAUUAAACAAAAUAGGAUUUAUUCCUAUGAAAAUGUGUGUACUACAAACUUGGGUUUUACCCAUGUGUUUAAUAUUAUGAAAAUAUGGUGGUUUUACU
rnacentral:lncRNA from 1 species